rnacentral:rRNA from 1 species
GACGAACGCUGGCGGCGUGCCUAAUACAUGCAAGUCGAACGCUUCUUUCCUCCCGAGUGCUUGCACUCAAUUGGAAAGAGGAGUGGCGGACGGGUGAGUAACACGUGGGUAACCUACCCAUCAGAGGGGGAUAACACUUGGAAACAGGUGCUAAUACCGCAUAACAGUUUAUGCCGCAUGGCAUAAGAGUGAAAGGCGCUUUCGGGUGUCGCUGAUGGAUGGACCCGCGGUGCAUUAGCUAGUUGGUGAGGUAACGGCUCACCAAGGCCACGAUGCAUAGCCGACCUGAGAGGGUGAUCGGCCACACUGGGACUGAGACACGGCCCAGACUCCUACGGGAGGCAGCAGUAGGGAAUCUUCGGCAAUGGACGAAAGUCUGACCGAGCAACGCCGCGUGAGUGAAGAAGGUUUUCGGAUCGUAAAACUCUGUUGUUAGAGAAGAACAAGGACGUUAGUAACUGAACGUGCCCUGACGGUAUCUAACCAGAAAGCCACGGCUAACUACGUG